AAAAUUUUAAAGGUCGAACAGACCUAAUUAUUCUAGCUUCUACACCAAAAAUUUAUUUUAAUCCAACAUCGAGGUCGCAAUCUUUUUUAUCGAUAAGAACUCUCAAAAAAAAUUACG
rnacentral:rRNA from 1 species